rnacentral:rRNA from 1 species
UACGUAGGUGGCAAGCGUUGUCCGGAUUUACUGGGUUUAAAGGGUGCGUAGGUGGGUAAGUAAGUCAGUGGUGAAAUCUUCGAGCUUAACUCGGAAACUGCCAUUGAUACUAUUUAUCUUGAAUGCUUUGGAGGUAAGCGGAAUAUGUCAUGUAGCGGUGAAAUGCUUAGAUAUGACAUAGAACACCAAUUGCGAAGGCAGCUUACUACACAGUUAUUGACACUGAGGCACGAAAGCGUGGGGAUCAAACAGG